rnacentral:rRNA from 1 species
GACGAACGCUGGCGGCGUGCCUAAUACAUGCAAGUCGAGCGAGCGAAACUAACAGAUUUACUUCGGUAAUGACGUUAGGAAAGCGAGCGGCGGAUGGGUGAGUAACACGUGGGGAACCUGCCCCAUAGUCUGGGAUACCACUUGGAAACAGGUGCUAAUACCGGAUAAGAAAGCAGAUCCCAUGAUCAGCUUUUAAAAGGCGGCGUAAGCUGUCGCUAUGGGAUGGCCCCGCGGUGCAUUAGCUAGUUGGUAAGGUAAAGGCUUACCAAGGCGAUGAUGCAUAGCCGAGUUGAGAGACUGAUCGGCCACAUUGGGACUGAGACACGGCCCAAACUCCUACGGGAGGCAGCAGUAGGGAAUCUUCCACAAUGGACGCAAGUCUGAUGGAGCAACGCCGCGUGAGUGAAGAAGGUUUUCGGAUCGUAAAGCUCUGUUGUUGGUGAAGAAGGAUAGAGGUAGUAACUGGCCUUUAUUUGACGGUAAUCGACCAGAAAGUCACGGCUAACUACGUG